ACGGGCGAUUCACGGGGUCCCUGACCCUGCCCACUGCCAGGUCUGGGCAGCGGGACAAGGUAGGAGGUGACAGUAAGGGCGCUGGUGUGUGACAGCCUGUGCUCAGGCGGGACAUCCGCCCAUGCCCUGCCGGCCCCCUGCGCUGCCCAUCUCUGCCUGCUGUCCUUCCUACCCCCUGUCCGUGCCCUGUCUGCGCCCGUCCCUGCCCUGUCCGUCCCCUGCCCGCUGACUCCCGGCAGGCUCUCAGUGCCUCCCCGUGUCCCCACCCUUUCCGGGGGAUGCGGUCCCCAGAGAGGGACGCUCUGUGUCAGUGUUACCUGUCUCCUGUCCCGCAGGCGGCUUCCUGUGCCUGACGACGAGGAGCAACCCCUCGAACCUGCGGUACAAGGCGGAGCUGGAGGCAGCGCUGGGGCAGCUGGAGCAGAGAGGAGCCUGGCAGAAGCUGCUGGCCCAGGAAGUGGAGUACUGGGAGAGGGCCACCUCCGAGGAGGAGAGCACCCAGGGCACUGGCUACAUCUCCGGGGUGGUCUACAUCUACCAGAAGUGCCCUGUUCCCAACCUCGAGGAGGGCUGAGAGCUAGCAUGGCUCUGGAGGGGGGGUGAGCACUUGACCCUUUGUAAAACAGAGCCCAGUGGCCCCCUCCUGCAGCAGAGCAGCUGCUGGGGGUGACAAUAUUCUGGGGGAAUUUCCCCAUUCACUUCCUCGGUUCCUUCUCACUGAGGUCUGGGCUUGGGGCCCUUGUCUGCUGCACAGCACGGGAAGGGUCUCCUGGAUUCACCAGGGUCUCCUGGGUGCCACCUUUAGCUCUGACAUUUAGGUAUUGACCCCAACACCUCAACGUUCGCCGUGACAUCUCAUAGACCCACAUGGCUGUUCCAAGGCAUGUCCAGUCUGGAUUUCUCCCCACCUCGCCCAUCUCAGCACUCAUGGUCAAAAUCUGGAUCCUUCUUCAUCUCCUACCCCCAGAGUCUUUAGCUGGGACUGCUGGAGACCUGUUCCUGCUUAUCCUGUUCCUAUGUUCCUGGAGAAGAGGUUGCAUCCUUCCCCUCAGGAGCUGUUCUCAGUGUGAGGCAAUGGCUGUGUCUGUCCCUGUUCCUCACCCAGGGCAUCCCACAUCUUCCACACUCGCCCUCCCCAUGGCUCUCAUCACCCUUCUGCUUCAUCCCCCAUGUUUUGGGGUCCCUGUGCCCAUCAGUCCCCAUUUGUCUCCAACACUGUCCCCUGAGCAGCUGGGGGUUGUGGCUGUCCCCAGCCCUACACUUGCCUGUUCAAUAAAGCCCUGUCCCUGCUGUCUGUCGGCUGUGUGUUGUUCCCAGAGCAAUGGGAAUGUGCACCCUCCAAGGUGGGUGGCCAGGAGCUUGGGAGGGGGGAUUCAGCCUUUCUCUGGGGUCCCCUCCCAGUCCAUGGGGGCUCAGAGCACCUGGUGUUCCCCUGUGCCUCUCUUAGCUCUCAGCAUCCUCUCCCUGCCUCUGUUUCCUGUUCCAAGGAAUGCCAGGAGCUGGCUGACUGCUGCUGAUCCCCUUGGGAAGAUGGGGGUGUUCUAGGUGCUGGAACACAGCAGCUGGCAGGGCAC
rnacentral:lncRNA from 1 species